rnacentral:rRNA from 1 species
AGAGUUUGAUCCUGGCUCAGGACGAACGCUGACGGUGUGCUUUAGACAUGCAAGUCGAACGAGAAAGCCCUUCGGGGUGAGUACAGUGGCGAACGGGUGAGUAACACGUGGGUAACCUGCCCCUCGCAGGGGAACAACCGGGGGAAACCCCGGCUAAUACCCCGUACGCUCCGAGGUCCGCAUGGUCCUCGGAGGAAAGGUAGCUUCGGCCAUCCGGCGAGGGAUGGGCCCGCGGUCCAUUAGCUAGUUGGUGGGGUAACGGCUCACCAAGGCGACGAUGGAUAGCUGGUCUGAGAGGAUGAUCAGCCACACUGGGACUGAGACACGGCCCAGACUCCUACGGGAGGCAGCAGUCGGGAAUCUUGCGCAAUGGGCGAAAGCCUGACGCAGCAACACCGUGUGGGCGACGAAGGCCUUCGGGUCGUAAAGCCCUGUUGUUGGGGACGAAGGGUGAAGGGUUAAUAGCCCCUAGCCUGACGGUACCCUUCGAGGAAGCCCCGGCUAACUACGUGCCAGCAGCCGCGGUAAUACGUAGGGGGCGAGCGUUGUCCGGAAUUAUUGGGCGUAAAGAGCGUGUAGGCGGUUUGGUAAGUCUGCCGUGAAAACCCGGGGCUCAACCCCGGGCGUGCGGUGGAUACUGCCAGGCUAGAGGGUGGUAGAGGCGAGUGGAAUUCCCGGUGUAGCGGUGAAAUGCGCAGAUAUCGGGAGGAACACCAGUAGCGAAGGCGGCUCGCUGGGCCAUACCUGACGCUGAGACGCGAAAGCGUGGGGAGCGAACAGGAUUAGAUACCCCCGUAGUCC